AAAAUUAAGAAAAAAUUAAGAAGUAUCGACACCUCGCUACAUUGUAAUCGUCAUGGAAAUUAAAUCCCCUAGCAUGAUAAUGAUGGAUGAGAGCGAUGAAUUGACGUUCAGAGUUAACUUCAAUGGCGAUCGACUCUCCAACUUACAACAUUUAAUCAAAGAUAAGCUCAAGGACUUUAUGGGUGAUUACACUGACGACACUCUCGUGGAAUAUGUUAUUGUCUUGCUUAAAAACGGCAGGCGAAAAGUAGAAGCAAAGAAAGAGUUGUGGGAUCAUUUAGAAAAGCAUUUAGAUCUCUAUGUGCGACCCAGCAAUGCAUGUGAAGGUGCCACAACCAAACCCACAUUUAGAGAGCAGCCUACAAAAAUAGAUACGCAUCACAUGGAUGCUGAACAGGAAAGACAAAAACCAAAUAAAUUAUCUAGAAGCAGACUUGGCGGGCAGUGGAAAGGCAUAGUAAAGGAUGCAGUUGAACCCCUCCACUUCGCAGCAUGGUGACCUCAAAUACACUUGUGGAUGAAGAUGCUCACAUCAAAGAUGAUCAUCUAAAAGUAUCACUGCAGUCUCGGCCAAUACUGCAGAGGAAAAGGCACCGGCCUGAUGAGAGGAACCCAAUGAAGGCUAUACCUGCUGCUGAAAGUGAGAAGGUAUCUCAAAAGUCAUUGGCAUCCAUUGUUGGUACAAAUCAGCUGGUGAUGUGUCGCCAUGUCAGCAUGAUUCAGCGGGUGAUGUGUCAUUAAUUCAGCAAGAUUCUAACGUCUGUUAGAAUCUAUCUAACGGAAGGACUAGAUUCAAGCGUUUGGAAAAGUUAAAUGACCCGGUUUGAGGAAUCUUUUGUUUAGGGACCUAUCGAAUAAAAGUGGAUUAGUUUAGGGACGUGUGAAUAUAUUAUCCCAAAUAAAAACAAAGAAGUUAAACUAAUGCAGAAUUACAUAUAGUUAUAUUUGUAAUAUAAUUAAACAAAUGUUAGCUAUUUAUCAAACAAUUAACAAAACAUAAUAUAAAAUUAUGUAUUAAUGUAUGUAUUAUAUAUAGAUAUAUGUUUUUCCAAAGUAUAAAUUCUGUAAUGUACAUUAAACUAUAACACGAUGAAAAAUUAUUUUAUCUUAGUAAUUAAUAUAUUAUAUUUAAAAUUUAACCUAUAUAUUUAUAUGUAUGGCCUAUUUUCUGAAUUUGGGUUAGGGCCUUAGUUUUGAUUGAGACAGCCCUGCUUGGAAUAUGGUUUCCAAAGCCUGCAGACAGGACUUUAUAUUCUAUGCUUUGUAGGUUGGUAAAUUAGGAUUAGUGUUAUCGAAAGCAUUAAGCGCACCGAGGUGAAAAACUCUCUGGAGCCUAGGCGCAAAGCGCAAAAGCGAGGCGCAUGUUUUACAAAUUUUUUUAUUUAUUAUUUAGGAUAUAUGUAUAUAGGUUUAUAACAUAAUUUAAACUUCAUAAUAUAUUAAAUCACACUAUAAGCCAAAAAUAACUUAAUUUAUCCUUUAUAAUAUAUUAAAUGAUACUUUUAGAGGGAAAAACAAUCCUAAAACUAUAUAUUAAAAUUCAAUCCUAAGAAAAGCAGGUCUCCUCCUCCUCCUCUAAUAAACGUCGAGGCCUCUUACCUUUGCUCUGUUUUGAACUUGAAGGAUUGGGGUUAUUUUGAACCCUAUUAGACUUAGAGGCUGAUUUUGAUUGCGACCUGGAUUUAUAUGCAGGCUCUUUAGCACCUGAAGCUUUUUCAACUAUUGACCAAUUUAGUCCAUCGUCAUCGGAGAAGAUGAAAGCUGAGCGCCUGAUAUAGCCUUUUUAUUUGGGCCUAAAAUUCUUUUUUUUGUUAUGGGUUGGUACUUUUAGGCCUUAAAAGUGUCCCAAAAUUCUUUUUUUUUCUUAUGGGUUAGUACUUUUGGGCCUUAAAAGUGGCCCAAUAACAUUAAAUAACUUAUUAUGUGCUUAGCUUCGCUAAAGCGCGCUUUUCUACCGCUUCGUGCUUAAGUGCGCUUUUUGCUUCAAGGCUAAAAGCGUGCGCUUCAUUGAAGUUGCUUCGCCUCGACAUAUAUGAGGCGCUAAGGGUGCGCUUUGCUUCGCUCUGCGCUUAGGCGCGCUUUUCACAACACUGAUUAGGAUUAUAGAAGUUCUAGCAUUUGUAAUUGUAGCAAUUGAAUAAGAUCUUAAGGAGAUGAACAUAGUAGUCCCAGUAGGUCUUGUUGGUGUCCCGGUCCGGAAGAAUGUCUCUGAAACAAGUGAAAAGAACAUCAGGCGUACACUUUAUCAUAUUCUUCCCUUUGAUGUAAUUAUGGGAAAAUAUGAGUGAAGUGUAAAUUGUGUAAUUUUAGUUAAUGUGUGAGACCAUAAUACACGACUUCAAAAAGAAUCUUGUGCUAUACUGUAGUUUCAUUUUUGUUAUUACGUGUAUUUUCAUUAAAAAUUCCACAGACAGAAUGGUCAUUUGAUAAGUAUCAUCUUCUUCUUUGAAUGUAAGUCUGUCACUAAAAAAAUUAGCUACUCACUAAGUAUAUAGUGAGUAGCUAAUUUGUAAUGUAGCAGAUUAUUAUUGUUAUUAUUAUUGAAACAGUGUCGUGUUAUUGUUCUCUUGCCUGAGUAUUAUUCCUGGGAAGUUGUCCCAAAACUCUUGUCUUAAAUCCUUGGGGAUAUAUGAAUUAGUGUACCCAUCAUACUUUCUGUAUGUUUUCAUCCUUUCUUAAGGAUAUUUGCUUUAUUGUGUGCAGGUGUAUCUUCAAGUGGUCAUCUCGAAGAUGCAAAUUCACGGACUAUAUAUUGUUAGCAAUGUUCAUUUUGCUGCUACCAAAGAUAGUCUUUUGCAGCACUUCAACAAGUUUGGAGAUGUUCUAAAAGUGAUUAUUGUAACAGAUGCAAC